rnacentral:rRNA from 1 species
UACGUAGGGGGCGAGCGUUGUUCGGAAUUACUGGGCGUAAAGGGCUCGUAGGCGGCCAACUAAGUCAGACGUGAAAUCCCUCAGCUUAACUGGGGAACUGCGUCUGAUACUGGAUGGCUUGGAUUCGGGAGAGGAAUGCGGAAUUCCAGGUGUAGCGGUGAAAUGCGUAGAUAUCUGGAGGAACACCGGUGGCGAAGGCGGCAUUCUGGACCGACAUUGACGCUGAGGAGCGAAAGCCAGGGGAGCAAACGGG